AUGAUUGAAAUCUGCCGCUCUUGGCUGUGGAAUGGCGACAAUUUGAGUAACAACGGCGGAAAACGUCGGGUAGCUUGGAACUUGAUCUGCCGCCCCAAGCAUCUUGGUGGCUUGGGCGUUCUUGAUCUGACUAAAUUUGGUAGAGCUCUGAGACUUCGAUGGCUAUGGAUGGCUUGGCAACGGCCGCCUUGGCCGUGGGCUGGCACUCCUCUGCCUUGCUCCAACGAGGAAAGACAGCUCUCUGCAAUGGCCACGGAAAUAACAAUUGGGGACGGCAAAAGGGCCAACUUCUGGCAUGAUCGUUGGCUGCAAGGAUCCUGCCCAAAGACGAUUGCUCCAUCACUAUUCGCGAUUUCAACACGGAAAAACUGUUCGGUCUGUGAGGCGCUGAAGGAUGAAACGUGGCUACAUGACCUUGCCCGGGGCCUUUCCGAACACAUGGUCCCUGAGCUCACCGACCUAGCUGCUAGAAUUUCCCAUGUGGUGCUCCUAGAGGACCAACCGGACAUCAUCACCUGGAGGUUUGCGAAUGACCACGAGUACAGCGCUCGCUCAGCCUAUCGACUGCAGUUCGAAGGGUCCAUCACUAUGGAUGGAUACAAAUUGAUUUGGUCCAGUUGGGCCCCUGGCAAAUGCCGCUUCUUCAUCUGGACGGUCAUGCUUGGUAGGAUCUUGAUGGCCGACGCGCUCUUGCGGCGCGGAUGGGAGAAUGAUUACUUUUGUCCUCUUUGUGAGCGCAAUCUGGAAACACCAUCUCACUUGUUCAUUGAAUGUCCAUGGUCGAGGGUUGUUUGGGAUUCCUUCGCCUUGCUAGCGGAGAUGCCUGCCCUCACUCCGGCGGCUUGGACGGGACAGUCUACCUUCUCGACCUGGAUGCAGAGGUGCUAUGACACCAUGGUGAAGGUAAAACAAAAAGGGCUUAUGUCAUUAAUACACUUGAUCACUUAG
rnacentral:rRNA from 1 species